rnacentral:rRNA from 1 species
UACGGAGGGAGCUAGCGUUGUUCGGAAUUACUGGGCGUAAAGCGCGCGUAGGCGGCUUUGUAAGUUAGAGGUGAAAGCCCGGAGCUCAACUCCGGAACUGCCUUUAAAACUGCAUCGCUUGAAUCCAGGAGAGGUGAGUGGAAUUCCGAGUGUAGAGGUGAAAUUCGUAGAUAUUCGGAAGAACACCAGUGGCGAAGGCGGCUUACUGGUCCGGUACUGACGCUGAGGUGCGAAAGCGUGGGGAGCAAACAGG